ACGGUUACAUCACGUUGAAAUACCGGUUCCCGUAUGAUCAUCGAAGUUAAGCAACGUCUGGUCAGUGCUUAGAUGGGUGACCGUUUGAGAAUGCUAGAUGUUGUA